AGUUUGAUCAUGGCUCAGAGUGAACGCUGGCGGCAGGCCUAAUACAUGCAAGUCGAGCGGCAGCACAGCAGAGCUUGCUCUGUGGGUGGCGAGUGGCGGACGGGUGAGGAAUACAUGGGAAUCUGCCCAGUCGUGGGGGAUAACGUAGGGAAACUUACGCUAAUACCGCAUGCGCCCUUCGGGGGAAAGCCGGGGACCGUAAGGCCUGGCGCGAUUGGAUGAGCCCAUGUCGGAUUAGCUAGUUGGCGGGUAAAGGCCCACCAAGGCGACGAUCCGUAGCUGGGUCUGAGAGGAUGAUCAGCCACACUGGAACUGAGACACGGUCCAGACUCCUACGGGAGGCAGCAGUAGGGAAUAUUGGACAAUGGGCGCAAGCCUGAUCCAGCCAUGCCGCGUGAGUGAAGAAGGCCCUCGGGUUGUAAAGCUCUUUUGUCCGGAAAGAAAAGCGCCGGGUUAAUACCCUGGUGUCCUGACGGUACCGGAAGAAUAAGCACCGGCUAACUUCGUG
rnacentral:rRNA from 1 species